rnacentral:rRNA from 1 species
UACGUAGGAGGCAAGCGUUGUCCGGAAUUACUGGGUGUAAAGCGCGUGUAGGCGGCAGGCCAAGUCUGUGGUGAAAUCGCUCGGCUCAACUGGGCGGGGUCCAUGGAAACUGGUCAGCUGGAGGACGGUAGAGGUGAGUGGAAUUCCCGGUGUAGUGGUGAAAUGCGUAGAGAUCGGGAGGAACACCAGUGGCGAAGGCGGCUUCCUGGCCUGUUCUUGACGCUGAGGCGCGAAAGCUAGGGGAGCAAACGGG